CGGAUUCCUCCUGUUUCUCUAAGACUUCUGAGUCACCAUAGCAUAUCAAGUGUGUUUUUUUAUCUUUGGCAUUUUACCUAGUAUGUCCAGUGAUCUCAGUCCUAAAUGCUCUGCUGAUUUUCAUUGUACAAUCGUGAUUUUGAACUCGAUUCUAGUUGAUCACCCAUCAGACCAUUAUCCGGCUCUAAUGGACAUUUUCUCCCCAGCCGAUGCGAGUUCCAAGUCCAC
rnacentral:lncRNA from 1 species